rnacentral:rRNA from 1 species
GUCCACGCCCUAAACGAUGGGUACUUGUUGUUGCGGGUAUUCACCCCCGCAGUGACGAAGCUAACGCGUUAAGUACCCCGCCUGGGGAGUAUGGUCGCAAGGCUGAAACUCAAAGGAAUUGACGGGGCCCGCACAAGCGGUGGAGCAUGUGGUUUAAUUCGAUGCAACGCGAAGAACCUUACCUGGGUUUGAACUUGCAGUGAAGGUACCGGAGACGGUGCCGCAGGAGCUUGCUUUUGGCGCUGUGAGAGGUGCUGCAUGGCUGUCGU